AUUGAACGCUGGCGGCAGGCCUAACACAUGCAAGUCGAACGAGUGGCGGACGGGUGUGUAAUGUCUGUGAAACUGCCCGAUGGAGGGGGAUAACUACUGGAAAUGGUAGCUAAUACCGCCUACCUUCAGCUGUGCCCAGAUGGGAUUAGCUAGUUGGUGGGGUAACGGCUCACAAAGGCGACGACCCCUAGCUGGUCUGAGAGGAUGACCAGCCACACUGGAACUGAGACACGGUCCAGACUCCUACGGGAGGCAGAAGUGGGGAAGAUUGCACAAUGGGCGCAAGCCUGAUGCAGCCAUGCCGCGUGUAUUAAGAAGGCCUUCGGGUUGUAAAGUACUUUCAGCGGGGAGGCGUUACCCGCAGAAGAAGCACCGGCUAACUCCGUGCCAGCAGCCGCGGUAAUUC
rnacentral:rRNA from 1 species